UCGACCAUAACAAAAUAUAACAUUAAUAUCAAAUCAAGGUUGUCUUCAAAACAGAAACUAUCUGAACUGAGUUUAACAUAAAGUACAAACAAAACAGUAACCUCAUAUUCAUACUUGCAAAACAAAAGAGAUCCAAAAAAUAAGAUUUCAAAAUAACAGACAAGCCUAAGCCUCAUUACAGCUGGCAUUCAAAAAAGCUCUUCCAGGUUGACGGUUGGCCAAUGGUCCAUGGCAUCCAAGAAGCUGAAAAAUCACAAAAAGAACUUAUAAGUUGAAAGGUCAAUUACUUCAACAAAACUAACUGAAGAAAAGUAUCUAUGAGUGUUCAAACAGAUUAUAUUCACAAAUCAGACACAUGCCCUAAUAUAUUCCAAACUAACAUGAUUCAAGUUAGCAAAAAGUAUGUCCUUAGCAUGAUGAAGAAAAUAUGAAACAUGCAGUACAAUGAAUUCACACAUGCAGUACAAUGAAUUCACAUGCAGCUUCACAUUUACCUUGGCGUUAACUCCAUCAGGCAUAAUUCUGUUUUCAGAUUUCAACUUAAGAUACUCAGCUCGAUUGAUCUUUGUGAAUCCCCUGAAGAAGCAUUCCAAACAACAAUAAUUAGAAUUAAUGCAUGGAUUAAAGUAAAAGGUCAAAGUAAUCCCAGACUACAAAUCAACAAUAGAAGUAAAGUGAUAUUUCAUUUUUCAAAUACUUACCACUUUCUGCUAACGAUGAUCUUUUGACGGCCAGGGAACUUAAACUUAGCACGACGGAGGGCCUCCUGAGCAUGGUGGCUGUUGUUGUCUUUGCAACGGACAGAAAGAAGCACCUGCCCAAUAGCCACUCUAGCACAAACACCCUGGGGCUUUCCAAAAGCACCCCUCAUACCAGUUUGAAGUCUAUCAGCACCAGCACAUGAAAGCAUCUUGUUGAUCCUGAGUACAUGGAAUGGAUGAACCCUGACUCUCAAGUGGAAUGCAUCCUUUCCUGCAAACUUAGACAUGUACUUGUUGCAGGCAAUCCUAGCUGCUUCAAGUGCCUCACUUGAGACAUUUUCCUUCUCCCAACUGACCAGAUGAACACAGAAAGGAAACUCAUCAACACCCUUCUUCUUCAUGCCAACAUCAUAAAUCCUGAUCUUCGGAUCAGGAACUCCACGACAGAAUCGUGAUUUUGGAUAUGGCUUGUUCUUAAUUUGACGGUAACACCUAGCAGGUCCUAUAAAUAAAACAAACAUGAUUACAAUUACACAAAUAGUACAAUAGAUCAUAACAUCAAAUGGUAUAGAUAUAAAAAUGCACUAUGCAUCAGUUUCAUACAUUAAAAUAUCAUAACAUUAAGAGGUUUUUGUUACGCUUCAUGAUUAUAAAGAUAUACAUAUAAUUAAUAUUAAUAAGUAAAUAAAAAAAUAGAAAUGCAAUCUCAGCCGAAAGAUGGUGAUAUUUCUGAAUAAUCACGGAAAUCAGAAUAGUAAGGAUAUAAAAAUUGCAUCAUAGAUUGCAGAGCAAUAAACAAUAACAAAACAAAAUACAUAUAAUAAUUUGAAUAACUAUAAUUAAAAUUAGUACUUGGGUACAUUCAAAAUAUAAACAGGGAAUUAGUAACAGUAGGUUUAUAAUUAAGUAAACCCCUGUGUCGCAAGACCUGUAAAAGUUUGAUCUAUGCCAGUAAAAACGAAAUGUCAAGCUACUAGACAAAAGUCAGAAGUCUGGACAUCAGAUACCAUAGGCAAUAUACAUGACGCAUAAUCAAUGAAAACAAAUAAUAAGAGAAUUAACCAUAAAAUUAAAAUUCAGAAGAUAUUAUAGCUUGCGAGAGAUCAGAUGGUAGUGCAUGUUUGUUUCAUCAUGAAAAACAGAACCGUAUGGAUAAAUAUCAUCAUUUCUCUUGCAAUACGUAUACUAAUAGUACCAAAGACAACAAAGAAUGAUAGACUCCAUCAUAUCAUGUAUUACGUAUUAAUAAACUCCUCAAAUUCUCAAUUAAUUUAAAAUAUUCAGAUUCAACUUACAGCAACAUCAAAUCAACACAGAAAAUAAAAUUAAUACAAUAGAUUUCGUAUAUAUAAUUAAAUUUCAGCUCGUGAUUUAUAAACCCUAAAUCCUAAAUCACAAAUCAAAUAUAAACAUCAGGUCUCAUUAAAAAUUGAAAUAAAACGAAUUCAUGGAAAUGAAAUGAAGAAACGUAUGGAAUUAUCAGAAACGAAACAAACAGAGAGAAAUGAAUGAAAAUUGGAAGGUAAUUAGGUCUUACUUCUUCCCAUGGCUGCGCUGCGUUCCUCGCGUCCUGUGCUGUCUCC
rnacentral:lncRNA from 1 species